GACGAACGCUGACGGCGUGCUUAACACAUGCAAGUCGAAGGGAGUGGCGAACGGGUGAGUAACACGUGAGUAACCUGCCCUUUUCUUUGGGAUAAGCCUGGGAAACUGGGUAUCAUACUGGAUGGAUUGGGAGGGGGCCGAGGCUUGUAAGCUUGUUGGUGGGGUGAUGGCUUACCAAGGCUUUGACGGGUAGCCGGCCUGAGAGGGUGGUCGGUCACACGGGGACUGAGAUACGGCCCAGACGCCUACGGGAGGCAGCAGUGGGGGAUAUUGCACAAUGUACGAAAGUCUGAUGCAGCGACGUCGUGUGGGGGAUGAAGGCCUUCGGGUUGUAAACUCCUUUCGCCCGCGGAAUGGUAGUGGGUAAAGAAGCGCCGGCUAACUACGUGCCAGCAGCCGCGGUAAUUC
rnacentral:rRNA from 1 species